rnacentral:rRNA from 1 species
GACGAACCGUGCAACCGUUGUUCGGAUUCACUGGGCUUAAAGGGCGCGUAGGCGGCUUGCCAAGUCGGGGGUGAAAUCUUUCGGCUCAACCGGAAAACAGCUUUCGAUACUGGCAGGCUUGAGGGAGGUAGGGGCGGAUGGAACUUCCGGUGGAGCGGUGAAAUGCGCAGAUAUCAGGAGGAACACCGGUGGCGAAGGCGGUUCUCUGGGCAUUACCUGACGCUGAGGAGCGAAAGUGUGGGGAGCGAACAGG